CACAUUUUAAAAAUUAUCAAGAUAAGGUAGGUGCAAUUUAAAAAAAACAGUUUAUUCAUCAGCGAUUUCGGUGUCAGUGUCUAUAAUUUUCUUCUUUGGUAAUGCCACUUUAGCAUUGUGUAGAACAGGAUCCAAUGACCGAGUUGUGCAGCCCAUUAAGAGACCUAUUCAAUAAAGCAUUAGCCUUCUGCAGAGCCAAGUGGACUUGAGGCCUUUUAAAAACACAUGCGGUAAGCAGUUGUCUGUCUCUGAUUAUUACAGGAAAUAAACCACAUUUGUAAAUGGAGAUUACUGUAGAUUUGUCUGUAAACUUUACACAAUCUGUGUUUUAAGUAUUCAUUUCAUGGAUAACUUUGGAUUGAAAUUGGACAGUUCUCACUAAAACCAAAUGUGAAAUGUGAAAAGAGUUCUGACGGGGAAAAAAAUAUAUACGUAAAUUCUUUUAGCAAAUAUUUACAGAUCUAGCGCCUAAUCUCAAGUUAUUUAUUCAAAUAGCUUAAAGGACCACUAUAGUGCCAGGAAAACAUACUCGUUUUCCUGGCACUAUAGUGCCCUGAGGGUGCCCCCACCCUCAGGGUCCCCCUCCCGCCCGGCUCUGGAAGGGGGAAAGGUGUUAAAACUUACCUUUUUUCCAGCGCUGGGCGGGGAGCUCUCCUCCUCCGAUCCUCCUCUUCUCAUCCCCGUCGGCUCUUCUCUGAAACUGCUAUGUUUAUGAAAAAAUGGGUUAACCCUAGCUGGACCUGGCACCCAGACCACUUCAUUAAGCUGAAGUGGUCUGGGUGCCUAGAGUGGUCCUUUAAGAUUCUCUGAGGGGUGACAUGCAG